rnacentral:tRNA from 1 species
CGGGGUGUGGCGCAGUCCGGUAGCGCAGGGCGUUUGGGACGCCAAGGUCGCAGGUUCGAAUCCUGCCACCCCGACCA